GUGGCUCUACAGCAGCAGUGAGAGCCGAGCUGUGGCAGACACAUGCUCUUCCCCUGACUCACGGCUGCCCAGUUCCCUCCAGCGAGGCUGCUGACCUAUUUUUCUAUUAGGAACAACCAGCCAAUGUGAUAAUGAGGAAAAUGUAUUCUGGCCCCUAUGAAGUUUAGUGAAGCCCGAAUGAAGUGGAGGAGGCCACGGAGAUGCACGAGGAAGAGCAUUCCAGGCAGAGGGAACAGCGAGGACAAAAGCCCCCGGGCAGGAAUGGGUGUGCAAGCCUGAGAUCCAACAUGGCGGAGAGCAAGCCGGAAGUGCUGCGCGGGGAUCCUAAGGGAGCACUGAACAGGACAAGCUCAGUUUUGUCCCUCAAACCUCCACAAUCAGCUAUUUUACAUAAGGAAAGUGGGUGGUGAUUAACCUCAGAGUCUCCAGGGACAGACUAUCCAGGACUGUGCCUGAAAUAGAAGAGGAAUUAACAUCAUACAGAACUGAAUACGGUGACUGAGGGGAGUUUGUGUCUCCCCUUUUAGGAAAGAAGAUGAGAAUAAGUUGAAUUAUCACAAUUUCCUGAUAAGCAGAGUCCAGCUUCCUAAUUCAAACUCUCAAACUCAUUGUUAAAUAAGCCCAGAGGAGUUGGACAUUUUCCAUCACGCAUGUGGGAAGAAAGAAGGCCAACGAUGCUCUUCAGAUUUAACAAGUAAACCUUAAAAGUAUCUGUUAAGAAUACAGAGAUGCCCAUGACAACACUAUCACCAGAGCAACAACUAUCAACUAAGACUUGCAGUUUUUGAGGCCUGGUUCUGAAGUGAACUACUCAGCAUUACUUGCAAAGGACAGACCUGCAAAGUGACGUUUUGCUGGCAGAAAUGGAGAAGGAGCUGAGUACAGAUUUCAUGUAAUAAAAGUGAAAUGAAAAUGAA
rnacentral:lncRNA from 1 species